AGUCGCGUUUCCUCGUUUAAGAAGAUAAGCACGAUAAAAGAGGCUUGCCGAUAAAUGUCGAUUAAAUAAAAAUAUAUAUCAAACGCUAGUGAAACAAAUUUUACGAUAAGCAACUGCCGAUAGGAUACAGUGCGACAUAAAUUAACGAAGGAAUAACGCGCAUUGUCUGUUCACGUUUUCAUUCUAAAUGUAUAUCUUGAAAUGAACCGAUCCCACUACACGAUCAUCGUUACACACGAAAGGCUGUACCGACGAAGGAUUCUUCUUCUUCCCGCAACGCUAAAUCGAUAAAGAAGUUUGUGGGACCAUUUACCCAACGAGGGCAACGAUAACAUGUACGCACACUUGGAAAAACAGACCAUGCGGAUAGAAAUUCUAAAUAUAGAAAAUACAAAUAAUUUGUGCGAUAAGAUAACAAUUAAUCAUAUGUCUCAGGAAGUUCGUAUCGUCGAUAAACGCAAGAUUAUCAAAAGAAGGAAACUGCCUUAUCGCUUGUUCGUAACUUAAUUAAGAUUUCGAUAAUAAAUAAACGAAACGAUACCUUUUCCUUUUAUUUUGUUGUCUACGAAUCUUACUCCUUCUAGCUCCUUCUAGCUUACGUACACAACGAUAUAACGUUAUCGUCCGUGAAAUAAGGCGAUAUCUACUUUAACGUAUAUCGAUAAAUAAGCUAUGAUAGUAGAUUACAAUUCCUUCGCGAAGAGUUAUGUAAAACCACGAACUUGAAAAAGUUCUUUAUGUGUUAAAAUUUAAUUGAUCGCAUUUUUACCUCAUAGAGUAUAGGCCUACCUCUAGUUUCGAGGGCGAACCUUCUUACCAUUUCGUUGUCACUUUCAACGUUAUCGAGUGAGGCGGAAAUAAAAUAUUAGCGCUAAUCUGAGCAAAAUAAAAACUAAAAAAAAAAAUGUCAAAAUGAAUUGUUUUAUGAAUUUAGGUACAGAUCAUAAGCUCCAUUUAUUGAAAAGGAAGUACGAAAAUUGUUAAUAUUUUUAUCAUACGAAUUAGAUCAAUUUAAAAAUAUUGGAUUUAUUCUUGUAUCUUAGGACUAAAGAAUAUCGUAAGAUAAUCGCUAAUCUUAAUUCAUCCUGGAUCGAUAAGAUAACAUUUUAUAUCGAAAUUCAUAUAACAUAUUUUUCCGCCGGAUGUUGGAUUCCCAACUCAAUUAUAACGUUACCGAAUAGGAUGUUACAAGCAAAAUAUUAAUCAACCAUAUAUCAACCCUGUAAGGUGUCCGCAAUACAAAAUAUAAUAAUAUUCGACGAAUUCGUCGUAUCUUAAAAAUAAUUGACGUAAUAAUCAAGUAGAAACCGCAUUGUGCGUGACCAGGAUAUGAAUUGUAACCGCAAAUUACUGCGAUCAAGACGGAAAAGGGGAGGGAAAUCGUAUUAAAAGGGGACUACACCUCCUGUGUUUUCAUUGUACCGUGCGUCAGUAACUAAUUUCUACUUGGACACCGUCGAUCUGUUGCGUAGAACUCAAGGGAGUCUAACAAGAAGGGACGAGAAACUCUAAAAAUCAUUUCAGAUUUCUACGCGCGCAAUGGCACCGCUUCGUUUCGUUAUCCUCGCUCUUAUCCUAAUGGUUAUAAGCAUGGGAGGUGAAUCGAGACCACUGACGUUUCCAGAAAGAAAGCAGACAGGAAAACAUUGUCCUCCUGGAUACAAAUUGGUUCGUAAUUUGGGAUGCAGAAAAAUCGUACCGAGAAAAUCGUAACACAAGUGAACCUUGGUAACCAAGAUCUACGCAGUACCAUGAAAGAUAAUCAUUUACGUUCUAAGCAUAAAGCGUUGAUCUGCGACAUUUUCACCCAAUAUCUGAUAUCGUAGAACACGCGUUUAACGUACAGUUUAUUUUUUUCAAUUGUGAAUGUCUACGUUAUGGUACGUGUAAAAUAAAUCACAGUUUAUCAAAAACAA